CAAUAAGCGGAGGAAAAGAAACCAACAGGGAUUACCUCAGUAACGGCGAGUGAAGCGGUAAAAGCUCAAAUUUGAAAUCUGGCUCUUUCAGAGUCCGAGUUGUAAUUUGUAGAAGAUGCUUCGGGUGUGGUUCCGGUCUAAGUUCCUUGGAACAGGACGUCAUAGAGGGUGAGAAUCCCGUAUGUGACUGGAUACCUAUGCUCAUGUGAAGCUCUUUCGACGAGUCGAGUUGUUUGGGAAUGCAGCUCAAAAUGGGUGGUAUAUUUCAUCUAAAGCUAAAUAUUGGCCAGAGACCGAUAGCGCACAAGUAGAGUGAUCGAAAGAUGAAAAGCACUUUGGAAAGAGAGUUAAACAGUACGUGAAAUUGUUGAAAGGGAAGCGCUUGCAAUCAGACUUGCACUUGGUGUUCAUCAGGGUUUCGUGCCCUGUGUACUUCAUCAAGUUCAGGCCAGCAUCAGUUUGAGUGGUUAGAUAAAGGCUUGGAGAAUGUGGCCCUCUUCGGGGGGUGUUAUAGCUCCAGGUGCAAUGUAGCCUACUUGGACUGAGG
rnacentral:rRNA from 1 species